rnacentral:rRNA from 1 species
UGGGGAAUCUUGGUCAAUGGGCGCAAGCCUGAACCAGCGACGCCGCGUGAGUGAUGAAGGCCUUCGGGUUGUAAAGCUCUGUGGGGCGAGACGAAAACGCACGGUCUAAUAGGCUGUGUCUUGACGGUAUCGCCUUAGCAAGCACCGGCUAACUCUGUGCCAGCAGCCGCGGUAAGACAGAGGGUGCAAACGUUGCUCGGAAUCACUGGGCGUAAAGGGCGUGUAGGCGGGAGAGAAAGUCGGGCGUGAAAUCCCUAGGCUCAACCUAGGAACUGCACUCGAAACUUCUUUUCUUGAGUGCCGGAGAGGAAAGCGGAAUACCUGGUGUAGAGGUGAAAUUCGUAGAUAUCAGGUGGAACACCAGUGGCGAAGGCGGCUUUCUGGACGGUAACUGACGCUGAGACGCGAAAGCGUGGGGAGCAAACAG